rfam:Azospirillum lipoferum 4B plasmid AZO_p4 complete genome
GCCCAGGUAGCUCAGUUGGUAGAGCAGGGGACUGAAAAUCCCCGUGUCGGCGGUUCGACUCCGUCCCUGGGCA